rnacentral:rRNA from 1 species
AAGAGAGCCGUAACACAGGUGCUGCAUGGCUGUCGUCAGCUCGUGUCGUGAGAUGUGGUUAAGUCCGCAACGAGCGCAACCCUUGUCAUUAGUUGCUACGAAAGGGCACUCUAAUGAGACUGCCGGUGACAAACCGGAGGAAGGUGGGGAUGACGUCAAGUCCUCAUGGCCCUUAUAGGUGGGGCUACACACGUCAUACAAUGGCUGGUACAAAGGGUUGCCAACCCGCGAGGGGGAGCCAAUCCCAUAAAGCCAGUCGUAGUCCGGAUCGCAGUCUGCAACUCGACUGCGUGAAGUCGGAAUCGCUAGUAAUCGUGGAUCAGCAUGUCACGGUGAAUACGUUCCCGGGUCUU